CCUACGGGUGGCAGCAGUGGGGAAUAUUGCACAAUGGGGGAAACCCUGAUGCAGCAACGCCGCGUGCAGGAAGACUGUUUUCGGAUUGUAAACUUCUGUUCUUAGUGAAGAAGACUGACGGUAGCUAAGGAGCAAGCCACGGCAAACUACGUGCCAGCAGCCGCGGUAAUACGUGGUGGCAAGCGUUGUCCGGAAUUACUGGGUGUUAAGGGAGCGCAGGCGGGAAACCAAGUCAGUUGUGAAAACUACGGGCUUAACUUGUAGACUGCAGUUGAAACUGUUUUGCUUGAGGGAAGUAGAGGUUGGCGGAAUGCCGAGUGUAGCGGUGAAAUGCGUAGAUAUUCGGAAGAACACCGGUGGCGAAGGCGGCCAACUGGGCUUUUACUGACGCUGAGGCUCGAAAGUGUGGGGAGCAAACAGGAUUAGAUACCCCAGUAGUC
rnacentral:rRNA from 1 species